AACGAACGCUGGCGGCAUGCCUAACACAUGCAAGUCGAACGAGACCUUCGGGUCGAGCGGCGCACGGGUGCGUAACGCGUGGGAACCUGCCCUUAGGCUCGGAAUAACUUCCCGAAAGGGGUGCUAAUACCGGAUAAUGUCUUCGGACCAAAGAGUUGUCGCCUUUGGAUGGGCCCGCGUUAGAUUAGCUAGUUGGUAGGGUAAAAGCCUACCAAGGCGACGAUCCAUAGCUGGUCUGAGAGGAUGAUCAGCCACACUGGGACUGAGACACGGCCCAGACUACUACAGGCGGCAGCAGUGAGGAAUAUUAGAGGAUGGGCGAAAGCCUCAUCCAGCAAUGCCGCGUGAGUGAUGAAGGCCUUAGGGUUAUAAAGCUCUUUUACCCAGGAUGAUAAUGACAGUACCGGGAGAAUAAGCUCCGGCUAACUACGUG
rnacentral:rRNA from 1 species